rnacentral:snRNA from 1 species
AAAAAGGGUCAGCGGGGGAGAUACCAUGAUCAAUCAGGUGGUUUUCCCAGGGUGAACCUGGCUUUUGCACUCUGGGCAGGCUAAUGUCUGCAAGCUUCCCAAAUGUAGGAUGCUCAAGCGCACGUUCUGUGGUAGUGGGGGACUGUGUUUGUACUUUCCUCCU